GACGAACCGAGCGAACGUUGUUCGGAAUCACUGGGCUUAAAGGCGCGUAGGCGGGCCGAAAAGUCAGGGGUGAAAUCCUCCAGCUUAACUGGAGAACUGCCUUUGAUACUGGCGGUCUGGAGUAAGGUAGGGGCAUGCGGAACUGAUGGUGGAGCGGUGAAAUGUGGUUGAUAUCAUCAGGAACUCCGGUGGCGAAAGCGGCGUGCUGGACCUUUACUGACGCUGAGGCGCGAAAGCCAGGGGAGCAAACGGG
rnacentral:rRNA from 1 species